ACCAUUCAGUCCAUAGUCCCCCUUCCUCAAGGCUCCAACCACAUCAUGCACAGAACUCAGCUGUAGCCCACAUCACACGGUGCUCUUCAGUCCAGCCACGCGUCCUUCAGCGGCUGGGAUACGUUCUCGACAAUGCAUCAUCAGGCUUGAGUGACAACUUGAGGACAAGGCGGCGCCUCAACAAGAUUUCACACAGCAGCUACGGGGGCCAGAGAAGCAGCACCGCAUGGUGUGGCAGGAGAAGGAGGACAUGCACAAGCAAUUGGUUGAAGCUUCAGAGACAUUGAAAUCCCAAGCCAAAGAACUGAAAGAUGCCCAUCAGCAGCAAAAGCUGGCCCUGCAGGAGUUCUUGGAGCUCAAUGAGCUCAUGGCAGAGCUCUACUCCCAGAAGCAGAAGGUGUGGGACAAGGAGGAGGAGAUGGAAGUAGCCAUGCAGAAAGCUGACAUGAUGUGGCAGGAGAUCUGAAGAUCCAAGAAGCUCAGAAAGAGGAUGCUGUUUAGCCAGAUGCGGUGGCUCACGCCUGUAAUCCCAGCACUUUGGGAGGUCGAGGCGGGUGGAUGGCCUGAGGUCAGGAGUUUGAGACCAGCCUGGCCAACAUGGUGAAACCCUGUCUCUAUUAAAAAUGCAAAAAUUAACCAGGCAUGGUAUUGGGUGCCUGUAAUCCUAGCUACUUGGGAGGCUGAAGCAGGAGAAUUGCUUGAACCUGGGAGGCGGAGGUUGCAGUGAGCCAAGAUCAUGCCACUGCACUCCAGCCUGGGCAACAAGAGCAAAACUCUGUCUCAAAAAAAAAAAAGGGGGGGAGGAAGCUAUUUAGAUAUUUCAGCGAUGGUAUUGACUGGACU
rnacentral:lncRNA from 1 species